rnacentral:lncRNA from 1 species
UAUAAACCAAUAUGUUAUCAACUCAAUUUAAUUCAUGAGAUAAUUGGCAGCCAACCAGGAAAAUGAUUGAACUUGAUUCAAAUUUAUAACACUAGUACAUUCUAAAUUUACAACACUAAUACACUAGUACUACGGCUACACUAGCUUGAAUAAGAUACACGAUUUGGGCCAAAUUAUUGGGAUCAAUAUACCAGGCCCAACGGCCUGAGGUCCAGACUCGUUCAAAUGACUUCCAGUUGGGCCAAGUUACAAGUAUGGCCCAUUUAUGUAAACCCCUGUUGAGACAAAAUCUUGAGAAGAAAACAUAGAACCUCAUACGUUCAAAUUUAGAAUCAUGUGUAAAGCUAAAUUGGAGAUUAAGUUACAAUUAUAGCCUACUCCAUAGCUGUUAAUUACAGUAGUUGAAUUCAUGAAUUAUUACAUAACCAUUUCAAACUGAUCUUAUACAAAUCGUUCAUCAGCAAGUAAUCUUCAAACAAGGAUGGUCAAUGAACUUCACUUUAACUCAUAUGAACUUCUAUGGCUAACCAGUGAAACCUGAAGCUGUUAAAGGUAUGAAAAAACUAUGAAACACAUACACUAUGUACUUCUGCAAUUAAAAGUGUUGUAUUAGCUCCUUCAGAGAUGACUCCGACCAACUCGUGGUCAAAUCCAUCCAUGCUGCCACAUCUUAAUACCAUUUUUGAACACAAAUCAUUAGUUAGAUAAUAACAAGCUAUAGAGGAUGAUGAACUGAUUAAUACAAUAUUUAUAACAAACUAAAAUAGUUUCAACAGACAAAAACCAACCAAGGAGGAACACUAAACAGUCUAGAAUACACUAAACAACCAAUUCAAGUGAGCAGAAGCUAAGUGUAAAUAUGACACGAAAAUAGCAAGUGUUACUCAUAUCACUAGAUGGAGAAUGAUAAAUGGAAAUUUACAUACCUAGCAGUAGAAUCAAACAAAAUAGAAAAUAAGCCUCUGAAAACUGGAAAAAGAGCAGUAGCAAGAACAAAUGCAGCAAGCAGGGAAGUAGCAAGAACAAAACCAGAAUCAACCUUGAAUUUAGCUCAAAAUUUAACUUGAGAAAGAUCAAAAUUUUGAUGAAUAGCACCCAAUAAGACCUCUGAAAUCUUUAUAUAAGAGAAACUAAGCUUAUAAAAGAAAAGGAAAGGAAAAUCUAAGGUAAAUUCUGGUGUGUAUUUGAGAGGAGUGAUUCUGAGUAUUAACCUCUGUGUGUGAGGAAGUGUGAGUGAAAGAGUGAGAGUGAGCAGCAAGGUUUUUGGUUCUCAAAGGGGAAGGAAGUCUGUUCGAUUUUUUUGGAGUAGAUGAAUUGGGCGGCGAGGUUUUGCGUAUGGGAUCGAAGGGUCUUGUCGGAGUUGAUGGAGAGGUGAGGCGCCGCUGCCAGGGUUCGUCUAUGGGAGGGGAGGGUCCGUUUUGUUCCCCCGUUCUCUGUCUCUCCGAGAUGAGUGAACUUAGGUUUCUUU